rnacentral:rRNA from 1 species
GCAUACUCUAGAUCCCGAUUCAUUUUAUUUUAAUUAAUAAAAUUACUACCAAAUCCCAAUAAAAUAAAUUUUACAAAUCUAAAUUUAUUAAUGUAACCCAUCUCUUCUUUUAAAAGCUGCAUCUUGAUUUGUUCUAAAAUAAAAUUUUUAUCUUAAGAAAAUUAACCUUCUUCCGAAAUAUUCAUUCCAACAACGAUAUACAAGCAAUAUAAAAGUAAAAUAAAUUGUGGACUAUCAAUUACAGGACAGGUUCCUCUGGUAGGUUUGAGUACCGCCAAGAAAUUUAAUUUUCAAGCACUUAACUAGUACUAAUCCGGUUUCAAUAAUUACAAAAUUAAUAACAGGGUAUCUAAUCCUGGUUUAGAAUAAUACUUUUUUAGAUCAUCUAAUUAUUUGUUCUUAACUUUUAUAUUAAAAUUUCACCUCUCAAUAUAACUAUUAUCAAACUAUUAAUUAAUUAACUAAAACCACAAAAAUUAAGUAGCACCCUCUGUUUAACCGCA